UGACAAUGAAUGCACAUGUCUUAUGAAAACACAUGGUUUAUAAAUUAUGAUUGUUAUGUGGUUUCUUCAAACCGAGCACCGAGUUAUGAUCCUCUCACUUUAUUAAAUGCGGGGAACCUGCAAGCGAAGUCUCCAUGGUAGAAACUGUUAGGGACGUGUGGAAGUUUUAUAGAUAUUGAAUGUAGUGUCUUGCUAAAAAUGAAAACUACAAAAUUGAGUCAUUUACAAAAUAAUAGUCUUUGCAAUAUUACUUUUCUUGUUUCUCAUUGUUGAGGUGAUGUAUCAUAUUGUAUGAAAG